rnacentral:miRNA from 1 species
GCGGAUUUCCAGUCCUCGCACGAAGCUCCUCGCUGCGAGUGCAUGCAUGAGCACUUUCAUCCAAUCACAAUGCUAAACAGUUAAUUUUAAUUAGAUGCAAGCACUCGCAGCGAGUUGCGAGGAGCUUCGUGCGAGGACUGGAAAUCCGCCU